rnacentral:rRNA from 1 species
AAUGAACGUUGGCGGCGUGGAUUAGGCAUGCAAGUCGAGCGCGAUAUGUAGCAAUACAUGGAGAGCGGCGAAAGGGAGAGUAAUACGUAGGUAUCUACCCUCGGGUCUGGGAUAGCAGCGGGAAACUGCUGGUAAUACCAGAUAACGUCUCCGGACCAAAGGUGUGAUUCCACCUGAGGAGGAGCCUACGGCCUAUUAGCUAGUUGGUAGGGUAACGGCCUACCAAGGCAAAGAUGGGUAUGGGGUGUGAGAGCAUGCCCCCACUCACUGGGACUGAGACACUGCCCAGACACCUACGGGUGGCUGCAGUCGAGAAUCUUCGGCAAUGGGCGAAAGCCUGACCGAGCGACGCCGCGUGCGGGAUGAAGGCCUUCGGGUUGUAAACCGCUGUCGUAGUGGAGGAAAUGUAGGAGAGUUAUCUCUUUUACUCGACUAAUACUAGGAGGAAGGACCGGCUAAUCUCGUGCCAGCCGCCGCCGUAAUAC